CAUGGAGUCCUGCACAUCUCCCCGGGGUUGGUGAGCUGCUAUGUGCCUAUUCUCCAAUGAUGCAUAGAGAGGAGGGAAACAAUGGGCAGGCAUCGGACAUGAGGUCUGACUGCCAGGAAACACAAAGCAGACAGGACAAAAGACACAGCAGUGACAGCACCCACCCACAGCAUCCUAAAACUGAUGCCUCUUACUCCUGCUCACCCCACCUACUGUGUUUUGAAUCCAAAAUGUCCCCAAGUCCAUGAUCUCAAUGUUUGACCUCAGUGGGUGACACUAUUUUGAACCCUUAGGAAAUGAGGCCUAGCUGGCUGAGGUAGAGCAAUAGGGUAGGCCUUUGAUGGUUCUAGCUCAGCCUCUGAGGCCAGCAUUCUCUGCUUCAAACUACUGCCACCACAAAUGGAGUCUUGCCACCAUGCCUUCACAGGUGAGACUGAAACCGGAGUGAACCGGAAUUAACUGGAAUGAACCAGAAUGAACUGGAAUGAACCGGAAUGAACAGGAACGAAGACGCUAACAGUGACAUAAUUAUGAUGAGCACACCUCUUUUUGUGGCAGAUGCAAGUUCCCAGAGAGCAGCUACGAAUGCCUCCAAGAGAGCAGCUACAGCCAGAGGUGGGGCGAACACGGAGUUGACUGUGGAUGCUUUAAAGCAAUUCUUCAAUUUUUAGUCCAGAAGACUACAGAGUCCUUCAAACAUUAGAGAUAAAAGGCCCUUCUAGAACCAUCCAGCAGAGCAACCACAUUCUGAAGACAAGGAUUUGGACUCCCAGGAAAAAACAUCUACUGCCCAUAGUUACCAAGUUAGGAUUAGAGAUGAAACUCCUUGGUGUUCUAAUCCCCAGUCUGCUUUCCUCCAUCGCUAAGUGUC
rnacentral:lncRNA from 1 species